GAGAGCCGUAUGAUUACGAAAGUAUCCCGUCCGGUUCGGUGACGAGCCUUGCCGACCCUAGCUUAAUAGGGAGUAAGUCUUAGUUCAAU
rnacentral:ncRNA from 1 species